rnacentral:tRNA from 2 species
GGGGGUGUAGUUCAGUGGUAGAGCACUUGCCUAGCAUGCAAGAGGCCCUGGGUUCAAUCCCCAGCACUGCAA